rnacentral:lncRNA from 1 species
UCUAGAAGGAAAUGUACUGCAAAUGUUAAACCAUAGGCCAAAAUUCUAGCUAGAGACUCACGCUUGGUAGAAGCUCUGCUUCCCAGGCCUGCAGCUGUUUGUCAGAAAGAGGGAUGGGGAAGUGCUAAGCAGGAGCUAAAAACCAUGGCACCAAGAAGAGAGGGGAGAGUUAAAAAUGAAGUCACUCUCCCCACCAUGGUGUUCUCAGCCAGUGGGAGCUGCCCAGCCCACACCUCUGUGAGGCAGGCAGGACGGGGUCACUGCUCCCACUUUACAGAUGAGGAAAACUGAGAUUCGGAGGAACAACCAGCAUAGCCACGUUUCUCAGGGGUCUCCUAGUUCCCCACCUUCUGGGAGCAGGCAAGGGGCCACCUCAGUCCUCCACAGACCCGAUCCCAAAGCCCGUCGCAGCACUGGCGGCACAGUGGGACACCCUUCAUAAACCGGGGUUGAGAUGUGGUUCUGUGCCCAAGGCGCGGGCCCCUGAGGGCCUCCAGCCUCUGGAAAUAGGCCCCAGGGCUGCACGGGGGGGAUAAGCCAGGCUAUUUUCAUCACUUCCUUCCACCCGCUUCCGCAGGGGCCACCUCAGCUGCAUCCCAUAGAGUUGCCACCCAGACCUCAGUCAGGACCUUUCAGGCCAGGCGGGAGCGCCCAACCGAAGGCUUCACAGCUGCCCUCACCACCCAGCCUUCAACGGUGUCCAGAGAGGGUCAGCCAGGCCUGGGUUGGGCACGCUCUACCUUCCCCAGUCACCAGCCUGUUUCCUGGAGGAGAAGGCUGAGACCCGAGAAGGGAGGUGAGUGCACCCCGUCCCAUGUCAGGCUCCGCUGUAUCCCC